GGCGCUAUAGCCAAGUGGUUACGGCGACAGAUUAGAACCUUCACAUAAAGUAUCUAUCUGUUCCUCUUUGAGGGCGCAGGUUCAAAUCCUGCUGGCGUCG